UUGACACUUCUGGGAUGAGCCAAUGAUUCAUCUGUUUGGAAGGUUUUGUUGGAGACAAACAAAGAAUCUUCAGGCAACAGAUGUGACAGCUGUGACUGCUCUCUCUCUCCUUCGUCUGCUGGGUCCUCUGUGUUUGCCUACCUGCUACAGGUAGCCAGUGAGCGGGGAUGAGAGGCUGUGCAGGUCUGCCACGCAGGCUUUAGCCAGUCUCUCUCUCUUUCCACAGAGGCAGGUGGGCUUGGGUUCUGUUUAGGGUGGUUCCUUAAGGGUUUGGACCUUUGGAUUGGUUCCAUGUUUUGUUUUAUGUUAACACUAUUCAACAUCCCCACAGCAUACUUUCCACUGCCCAUAUACAUAGGCUAAUCGAAAGAAUUGUGUGUUUGGUCAGUAGUUCAGUUGGUUGGUCAUAUAUGUUGGUUUGCUGAUCAGGUUUGGUUUGUUGCAUUUUGUUUGGGUAUUUCCAACAUGGUAAAGAUGGUUUGUUGUUUCCUCCGUUCUGGCUCGGUCGGUCCUUGUGAUUUUGGUACUGGUUUUCUGUCCAAACCAUAUAAUCGCACAUUUUCUAAUCUUCCAUACGCUACACUAAUCCCUUUACAGAUUUCAUGAUACUUACUUUAUUCUAAUAAAUAACUUUUAUUAGAUCCCGAUCUUUGCUCUGACCCGAGCCUCGUCUUAAUGCAGCCAAGGAGAUGGAAGAGCGUUAAUUAUGAAUUAUGAAUAAUUAUUAGAUGAUUGUGUUGUACAAUGAAAGACAGUAAAGAUUCAAUAUGAAUGGCAAAAUAAGGAUGGGAUUUUAUUUGAACAAUAAAAUAUGUGUUGGGCAAAUUAUAGAGAGGCUGAGAUUAUAGAUUUCAUAUUCAAAAAGCGAAGGGGUGAAAAAUUUAAGAAAUAUAUUUAAGAAAUAUAGGCCUACUCAAAGCCCAAAUCAUUGAUAUCAUACCCUAUCCAAUAAUAAAGAAAUUUGAAUUUGAAUGGUAACAAUUCCGUUAAAUCCUCGUCCUCGUUUUGAUAGUCUCACUCAUGGCCAAUCAGUGGGUUCUUUCUGAUUAGCUCUUAAUUGAGAUCACCUGUCACGCACCCCUUUAUUAAAGGUGAACACAAUGGGUUUGGUUUACUUUUCGCAUCGGCCUGUGUCAAUCGAGGUUGAGUUUAGUGAGGGUUGAAAGUUUUCGAUCUAGAUUGCAGAUCACUAUUGUCAACUUUAUACAAACUGAAAGUAUGCGUUGUUGCGUGUUUGUUUUUGUGGGCAUUUGACUGAACAGCCCAGACAAAUAUUGCUACCAACAUGGCACUUCGAAACAGACCACCGCAGUGAGUAAAAGUUAUUUUCCUUUAUUAAAUGUUGACGUUUUUGGGCUGUCUCCUCAGACACAAGCCAUCAGUAUCCCUGCUCUUUGCACCUUGACAUGCAUGUCACCGCUGUUUGUUAACCUAGCUUUGCUGAUUUGUAUCUUGUGAUGUGUGUGUGUUUUUCUUAACAGGUGUUAGAUGACUGACAAGAUCUAUGGGGGGGCCCCCUUUGGGCCCCCCCAUACCAACUUAGUCUUCAAAGGAAUCUAGUGCCAUGGGUCUCCAGUGUCUUCAAAACAUC
ensembl:lncRNA